UUGGGUACUCUAUUGAGACUGCCGCUGACAAGGCGGAGGAAGGUGGGGACGACGUCAAGUCAUCAUGGCCCUUACGACCAGGGCUACACACGUGCUACAAUGGGUAUUACAGAGGGCUGCGAAGGUGCGAGCUGGAGCGAAACUCAAAAAGGUGCUCUUAGUCCGGAUUGCAGUCUGCAACUCGACUGCAUGAAGUCGGAAUCGCUAGUAAUCGCAGGUCAGAAUACUGCGGUGAAUACGU
rnacentral:rRNA from 1 species